CAUGUUGCAUCCUUGUCAUAUGCUUUUGUGUUGCUCGUAUCUUUUAGGUCGUAACUUCGUUGGAGAUGCGCUAUAUAUGUAAAUUUACUAGAAUGACGUGUAGUUUCACGUGCUCCGCUUUUUUUUGCCUUUUAACAAACUUAAAAUGUGUUUAGGACAGAUUUGGACAGAUUUCCAAGUUAAUGUGUGGGGUCGUUUCGGAAAUGCUAUAUGCCG
rnacentral:lncRNA from 1 species